AGAUAGGCAGCAUUAAAAGAUUUUUUGAAAAAAGAUAAAAAUGUAGUUUGGAAAUGUGGCCAGUCCCUUUCAUAGCCAAACGGUUUGCUUUCUUCUUCAUAGCUGUUGCAGCAGCCGCAGCUUCAGCAAAUGGAGCAGCUGGUGGUCUUGCUGGAACAACAAAUGGACCAUUUCGCCCUUUAGGAACACAGCAGCCUCAGCCCCAGCCCCAGCAGCAGCCCAAUAACAACCUGGCAUCCAGUUCUUUCUACGGCAACAACUCUCUGAACAGCAAUUCACAGAGCAGCUCCCUCUUCUCCCAGGGCUCUGCCCAGCCUGCCAACACAUCCUUGGGAUUCGGAAGUAGCAGUUCUCUCGGCGCCACCCUGGGAUCCGCCCUUGGAGGGUUUGGAACAGCAGUUGCAAACUCCAACACUGGCAGU
rnacentral:ncRNA from 2 species